rnacentral:rRNA from 1 species
GACGAACGCUGGCGGUGUGCUUCACACAUGCAAGUCGAACGAGGUAGCAAUACCUAGUGGCGGACGGGUGAGUAACGCGUGGGAAUCUGCCUUUAGAUGGGGGAUAACGGGUCGAAAGACUCGCUAAUACCGCAUAUGACGAAAGUUGAAAGGAGUAAUCCGUCUAAAGAUGAGCCCGCGUCCGAUUAGCUAGUUGGUAGAGUAAAAGCCUACCAAGGCGACGAUCGGUAGCUGGUCUGAGAGGAUGAUCAGCCACAAUGGGACUAG